GGCGGAGUUGGUGCGGGAGAGCGGGGUAAGGGGGAGGGGGCAAGCGGGUGUGGGAAUUACUAUGGGUAAAGAUAACGUAGGCGAAUCAUGAAGUGGGGGGUGAAAUCCCGGGGAUCAAGCGUGGCACUGGCUUCAAGACUAUGGGUCUGUAGGUCGAGAGAGGUGAGUGGAAAUCCGAGUGUAGAGGUGAAAUUCGUAGAUAUUCGGAGGAACACCAGGGGCGAAGGCGGCUCACUGGCUCGAUACUGACGCUGAGGUGCGAAAGCGUGGGGAGCAAACAGGAUUAGAUACCCGGUAGUC
rnacentral:rRNA from 1 species